AAAAAAAAAUUCAAGGUCGCCAAGUCUCCCCUGCUUCUGUUUUCUUGGACAGGAAAGGCUUCCGAAAUAGGGAAAUUCGAAUUUUCAUUUUAAAUUCUGACACCAAGAAGUGGUGAAUCCGCCAACCGGGAAUGCGCGUCGGGCCUCGAUGCGGCAGCCUGACUGGAAGCGGGCGCGGCGUGCGGCGUCGCAAGAAUUGCUGGUCCUGAAGCGCCCUGCGGGCGUUGACCCGGUUUUCCCCUGGCUCCCCUUAUAAUAAUAGGAAGAGCCCCGCGCCACCAAUGCGGAGCCAACCCACACUGAGGCCGCCUAGGAGAUUUUUGGCGUCGCAAUGGCCUGCAGGGUCAGCGUUAGCGUCCCUCCCUCCUUUCUUCUACCUGUACCUUCUCCGAUGCUAGCUAAAGGCAAUCAUUACUCUAUAGGAAAGUUAACAGGGGACUGAAGAGAACAACCACAAAGUGCAAUGUGUGAUCUUGAAUUGGAUCCUGGAGGAGGGGGUCAAGAUUGCUAUAAAGACUAUUCUGGGGGCAAUUGAUGAAGUUCAAGUAUAAACAAUAUGUUAGGAUGGAGAGUGCGGCUGAAAAUUCCAAGCCUCUAAUCGCGGCUUGGUCUUUCUCGUGACGAGCCUGCCUCUAGGAGCCAUCCAGGAGCCCACCCAGAGUCACCUCAAUAGAACAAAAGAUGUGCCUAGUGCGCUGUCUUAUCACUUAGGAAUUUACAAAGGUUUCAGUAGCUCUGUAUCAGGAACUGGGGGCAGAGACCAAUGUAUGUUUUCUGUUAUUUCACAGCUAUAUCAGAGAAUGUCCUUGUUUAAAGGACAUAGAUACUGAACUAUUUAGACAUAAAGGAGCAUGAUGUCUGUUGAUUCAUUAAAAAUUUAUGUAUAGAUAAAAAAUAGUGAGAUAAGCAAAUGUAGCAAAUCAUUAACAAUUGCUGAAGCUGUACUAUUCUUGAAGCUCUUUAAAGUUUAAAAUUAUUUUAAAAUACAAAGUUUUAAAAAAAGAAGCAUUUAUUGGUUGGUGCCAGGCACUGCUCUGGACACAGGACAGUACAUUUUCGGCAAG